rnacentral:rRNA from 1 species
CCUACGGGAGGCAGCAGUGGGGAAUAUUGGCCAAUGGGCGAAAGCCUGAUCCAGCCAUGCCGCGUGUGUGAAGGCCUUCGGGUUGUAAAGCACUUUCAGUGGGGAAGAAAGCCUUGGGGCUAAUACCCUCGAGGAAGGACAUCACCCACAGAAGAAGCACCGGCUAACUCCGUGCCAGCAGCCGCGGUAAUACGGAGGGUGCGAGCGUUAAUCGGAAUUACUGGGCGUAAAGCGCGCGUAGGCGGUCUGAUAAGCCGGUUGUGAAAGCCCCGGGCUCAACCUGGGAACGGCAUCCGGAACUGUCAGGCUAGAGUGCAGGAGAGGAAGGUAGAAUUACCGGUGUAGCGGUGAAAUGCGUAGAGAUCGGGAGGAAUACCAGUGGCGAAGGCGGCCUUCUGGACUGACACUGACGCUGAGGUGCGAAAGCGUGGGUAGCAAACAGGAUUAGAUACCCGGGUUAGUC